CUAUUUUGCGGGCUGUACUUAUUUGCCCCUCCCAAUUUUCUCCUUCCAACAUUCGAAUUUUUCAUUCGUGCGUUCUCUCUCCGUCCACGCCCAUCAACGAGCCAGCGACGCCAUUCACCGUCGCCGAAAACAGCAAGUCGGCAGGAGUACCACUAGUGAUUAAUCUUCGUUCGCAUUCAUACAUUUGAUAUUUGUAGCAAAUUAAAGCUUUGAUCUGAAGAAAUUUUCUCACCUAAAUCAAGGGGAUUCACGGCAGCUUUUUAAGGCGUGCAAGAUUCGCCAAAUAUCAGAAUAUCUGAAUCAUCUCGUGCCAUGGAAGAUGAGAAUAAUGCCCCAAACCCAUCCUCAAUUUCUGACCAAUCCUUAGAUCUGGCUGUUCAAAAGAAGCACCAAGCAAUGAUCGAACGGCUUUCUAACCGCCACCAAGCUCGUCACCGGAGCAAAGAGUCGGAUUCAUCUCCGUCCUUUGAGUCUACUGACUCUUUCCUUGCUCGCUUUUCUGAUCUGAAGCAUUCAGUUAACUCUGAAAUUGAUCAAAUUGGACAAGCCCCUGAGUCUUUCACUAAAGGAGACCUUGAUAAUGUCUCUGCUUUAAUCAGUGAUCUUGAGAAGCUUCUUGCAGAAAAUUCCUACCACUUGCCUUCCUAUGAAGUUCGUGCCUCUCUCAAGACUAUCUCUGACUUGAGAGAGUACCUUGAAAAGGUGUCAAUGAAACUAGUUCCUAAAAAGAAAUUCUCUUUUAAAAGCAAAGUUGUGAAGCAGAAACUGCCCAAUCUUUCCACGGAAAAAGUUGACAAAGUUGAAGUGGUUUCUGGUAACAAAUCUUGUAUUAUGUUGGAUCUCCCGGGAUUUAAGAACAGAGAACGAGAGGUUCUGGUGGAGAAUUUGAAGGGAAAGGACAUGGGGGAGUUUUCAUUGUCAGACCUUGAUUCUUGUGAGGUGAGGCUGGUAGGUAGGUCAAGGGCAAUCUUUAUUCAUAGGUUAAAGAAUUGCAAAGUUUAUGCAGGGCCUUCUCUGGGUUCGGUGCUGAUAGAUGAUGUUGAAGGGUGUGUAUUCAUGUUGGCAUCACAUCAGAUAAGGAUUCAUAAUGCUAGAAGAUGUGACUUUUACUUGAGGGUGCGGAGUCAUCCCAUAAUUGAGGACAGCAGUGAGGUGAGAUUUGCUCCCUAUUGUUUGCAAUAUGAUGGGAUCGAGGAAGAUUUAAGGGAGUCGAGACUUGAUGAGGAGACCGGGAGUUGGGCAAAUGUUGAUGAUUUCAAGUGGCUGCGUGCCAUACAGUCUCCUAACUGGUCCAUCCUUCCGGAAAAUGAACGGGUUAGCUCGUUUCGUGUAGCAAUUGAAGAUAGCUGAUUUGGUGCGACUUCUUUUGUUGAUGCAUUGUUCAUGAAACCUUGCCGCUGCCGAUCAAGCUACUGGCUUAAGAAUUUUUACUGUAUAAUCCAACGAGGCGCUGCCUGUUUCUCGGUGCUGAGUCAACCUUAACCCGUCAUUGGCUAAUGGCAGCCGGCCAUAGGGCCCCACGGCAUAGAGCAGCUCACUGCGAGGAUGAGCUGUAUUGAGCUGGAAACCUAGGUACAUGCGGUUUGACUCAACAAACACUGCUGUCGAAUUCUCCGUCACAGUGAGGUCACCUGCAUCAGGCUCCACCUUCUCAGGGUCUUUAUCCUGCAAGUAGUACUGCUUGAUGACUGCUGUCCCAUUCCUGUAGACCCAGCCCACCAUUGCACUGGAGCCGACCAUCAGCCCAUUGGUUGAGAAACCAAUCCCAAGCCAUGAGUCCGUGUUCGGUGCUGAGAGCAGGAAGCUCCAUAGCCCUGGUUGUGCUUGUACAUACUGGAGAAGCAAGGGAAAGAAAAGUGAUGAGAGAUGACAUCUUUAUAAUUCUAAUGGAAUAGGCAGAAUUAACCCAGGCUAUCCAGCUCAUUGAAAUUGGAUAGCAAUGCACAUAUAGGACCCAAAUCAAUAUUAACCCAAUUUAAGUAACUCGAAAGGGGUGAAAAUUGAAAAUCAGGUAUAGAAUAGGCUUGAAAUGAAAGCUGAUCGAAAAAUAUAAGGUUCUAAACAUGACUUUGGACCUACAAAUGAAAUCACCUUCUCUGAGACCGAUGUUUUUGACAGGUCUAGCUACAAGGUAAGCUAAGAAGUUGAAGGUUGAACCCCGCCUACAAAGUUGAUUGCUUGGUUGCUGUCUUGACAAGGUUGUUUAUGCUUUACUAUUGACAGCUUACCACCCCCCUGUACUUGCUAACAGAUGAAUUAAAAUUAUUUCCUACCUGAAAGACCUUGGUUUUUGGGGAUGGGGGGUUUGAAGGUGGCGAACUUACCCGAAGAACGUAGUCUUUGGAGGUCCAGACAUUUUGGCAGAACAUGGCAGUUGUGUCAAAGUUGACCAUUUCAUUGAAGUCGACAAUGCUGUUGCAGGAUUCUGCAUUUUGUGAUAGCACCAGCAAACAUGGGUUAAUGAGGAGGACUAUGGUGAAAAAGAUGAGAUCUACCUGUUUCAUAUCCGUCUCUUUUCCCUUGUUAUCUUGGAUGAUUUUGUGUUAUUUGGUUCAUGUAAUUCCAGUUACUUUGAAUGAAGGCAAUACGUUAGGUAACCAUCUCCACUAGAAGGAUUUGUAGGAGUUGACCACGUUUGUUGUCGCCCAGUUUGUGAUUUUAAUGUCUGUGUUAUAAAAAUACUUUGUAUACUAUAUUGUGGUAUUUGCUGAAUGAUGGGAUGGUGGUUUGUUAUAAUAUU